CAUGUAGGCGGUUAUAAAGCUUGAUGUGAAAUCUCUGGGCUCAACCCAGAAACUGCAUUGAGAACUGUAUGACUAGAGUUACUAAGGGGAAACUAGAAUUCCAGGUGUAGGGGUGGAAUCUGUAGAUAUCUGGAAGAAUACCAAUGGCGAAGGCAAGUUUCUAGUAGAUAACUGACGCUGAGGUGCGAAGGUGUGGGGAGCGAACA
rnacentral:rRNA from 1 species